UACGUAGGGGGCAAGCGUUGUCCGGAUUUACUGGGCGUAAAGGGCGCGUAGGCGGCCACUGCAAGUCGGUUGUGAAAUCUCCGGGCUUAACCCGGAAAGGUCAAUCGAUACUGCAGGGCUAGAGUGCAGAAGGGGCAACUGGAAUUCUCGGUGUAGCGGUGAAAUGCGUAGAUAUCGAGAGGAACACCUGCGGCGAAGGCGGGUUGCUGGGCUGACACUGACGCUGAAGCGCGAAAGCUAGGGGAGCGAACGGG
rnacentral:rRNA from 1 species